rnacentral:rRNA from 1 species
AGAGCGAACGCUGGCGGCAGGCCUAACACAUGCAAGUCGAACGGACCCUUCGGGGUUAGUGGCGGACGGGUGAGUAACACGUGGGAACGUGCCUUUUGGUUCGGAAUAGCUCCUGGAAACGGGUGGUAAUGCCGAAUGUGCCCUUCGGGGGAAAGAUUUAUCGCCAUUAGAGCGGCCCGCGUCUGAUUAGCUAGUUGGUGAGGUAAUGGCUCACCAAGGCGACGAUCAGUAGCUGGUCUGAGAGGAUGACCAGCCACAUUGGGACUGAGACACGGCCCAAACUCCUACGGGAGGCAGCAGUGGGAAUCUUGCGCAAUGGGCGAAAGCCUGACGCAGCCAUGCCGCGUGAAUGAUGAAGGUCUUAGGAUUGUAAAAUUCUUUACACCGGGACGAUAAUGACGGUACCCGGAGAAGAACGCCCGGCUAACGUUCGUGCCAGCAGCCGC